rnacentral:rRNA from 1 species
GACGAACGCUGGCGGCGUGCUUAACACAUGCAAGUCGAACGGAAAGGCCCUGCUUUUGUGGGGUGCUCGAGUGGCGAACGGGUGAGUAACACGUGAGUAACCUGCCCUUGACUUUGGGAUAACUUCAGGAAACUGGGGCUAAUACCGGAUAGGAGCUCCUGCUGCAUGGUGGGGGUUGGAAAGUUUCGGCGGUUGGGGAUGGACUCGCGGCUUAUCAGCUUGUUGGUGGGGUAGUGGCUUACCAAGGCUUUGACGGGUAGCCGGCCUGAGAGGGUGACCGGCCACAUUGGGACUGGGAUACGGCCCGGACUCCUCCGGGAGGCAGCAGUGGGGAAUAUUGCACUAUGGGCGGAAGCCUGAUGCAGCAACGCCGCGUGCGGGAUGACGGCCUUCGGGUUGUAAACCGCUUUCGCCUGUGACGAAGCGUGAGUGACGGUAAUGGGUAAAGAAGCACCGGCUAACUACGUG